UUCACACAUAAUACAUUAAAUUACAAAAAGUUAAAUUACCCCAAACUAUUGGUCUACAAAGUUACACUUGUAGAUUCAAUGCUACUGUGUAGUCCAGGACCCCCGUGUUUGGGCAUCUCAUGAAUUGAGUUUGGCAAGUAUUUAUUUCAUGUCAAAUAUGUCAUGUCACACCUAACCUAUAAAAUAUUGGGCAGCUGAGACCGACCUAGAUCAAUUUUACCAUCCCUAAUUUGGACCCAAAUAAUUGGCGUUUUAUGUUUUUCAAUUUGUCGUUUAUUUUUGUUGAAGGAUACAUUUAUAAAGCCUUUUUAACUGCUAAAAAUAUACCAACAUCGUGUAAAUGUGCAAAUAAUAACGUAUUCCAAAUUUCAUGCUACAGUUUUAUGAUGGAAUUCUACUAGAAAGAUUAGCAUUCUCAGAGUCACUUUGCUUAUCAAUUUACUAUUAGAAUGAGCAAAGUUCAGUUACUUAAUACAAAAAAAUUAAUUAUUUUAAUCUUUUGAAUUUACGGUUAUAAUCAGUUACUUAAAUUCAUCCUAUAGUUUGAUUUUUAGAAAAAGAACCCGCCUAUGGCUGGUUAACUGUCAUUCCUCUCCCUCUCCCUCUCCCCCACACCCUCAAAAAGAAGAUAAUGAUGGAAACCAAAAUCCUUCAAAAGAAGAAUCUAUUUUUCUUCUGAAGUGAUGGGUGAUUAUGGAUCAACAUUAUGAUCUUGAUGAGUUAGUGUUCAUGCCGAACCUCAAAUCCUAGCUCUACCUAUGAUUCACCAAAAUACAAAAAGGAAUUUCAGGAGCAAUUGUACUGCGUGCCUGAAAUGACGAUGAAAAAGAGGUGUGAUCUUGAAUAUGAGGAGUUUAGGUUGCAUCACAUCUUAAGAAUCUGGGAUACACUUCUACGCGUCAAUCCCUUUAGUGUUCAGGUUCUUCAGCCUUCUUUAUCGACCAUUUUGGGACAACAAUAUAUAAUAUGUCUGGAUAUCGUGAUUGAUGUAAUAAUAUCACAAAAUGUGAAUGGAUAAGUCUCUCUCAUCCAACUUCA